rnacentral:rRNA from 1 species
AUUGAACGCUCGCGGGAUGCUUUACACAUGCAAGUCGAACGGCAGCGCGGACUUCGUUCUUGCGGCGAGUGGCGAACGGGUGAGUAAUGGAUCGGAACGUGCCCAGUAGCGGGGGAUAACUACUCGAAAGCGUAGCUAAUACCGCAUACGCCCUACGGGGGAAAGCAGGGGAUCGUAAGACCUGACACUAUUUGAGCGUCCGAUAUCGGAUUAGCUAGUUGGUGAGGUAACGGCUCACCAAGGCGACGAUCCGUAGCUGGUUUGAGAGGACGACCAGCCACACUGCGCUUGAGACACGGCACAGACCCCACUGGGACGCAGCAGUGCGGAAUGUUGGACAAUGGAGGCAACCCUGACCUAGCCAUCCCGAGUGUGCGAUGAAGGGCUUCGGGUUGUAAAGCAAUUCUGGCAGGAAAGAAACGUAGCGGGCUAAUCCCCUGUGGAACUGACGGUACCUGAAGAAUAAGCACCGGCUAACUCCGUG